rnacentral:lncRNA from 1 species
UUCUCAACUUAAUUUGGGCCAAAAUGCAAUAACCUCAACUUUUGGGCUAUAUUGCAAAAACACAAACUUUUGGGGUCACUUUGUAAAAACACAAAAGUCCACUACUUCAUGUAAUUACAACUAGAACCCAAAAAUUUCAAUAAAUUCAAAACUUCAUUAAAGGAGCAAAACAAUUUGUCCUUUAGCGUUUUUAGGCCUUAACGUCAAAACGUAAACUUUCGGGUCAAAAUACAAAUACACAAAAGUAUCAAAACUUUAUGUAAUUGCAUAAAAGCCCCAAAAAUACCCUAUUUUAAUAGGGUGGCCGGUUUUAGGGAGAAAAAAGGAGUGGAGAUAAGUCCACAAAAAUUUGGAAAUUUUUCAACUAAGUCAUAAAGCCAUGCAAGUGGAAAUAGGUUGAUGUGAAUAAAGCCAUGCAAGUGGAAAUAGGUUGAUGUGAAUAAAGCCAUGCAAGUGGUGUGUGUGUGUAAGAGAAGUCCUUCUUACACACCCAUCACCAUUUCUAUCACCUUUCAAAAAUAAUAAAUGUUUUGAUGAUAGAUAAGUCACACCCACCAACACAAAACAAAGACUUUAUGAAAUAAAUCAAAACUUUGAAUCAAAACAUCAAACCUUUUUGUCCUUUAGCGUUUUUAGGCCUUAACGUCAAAACGUAAACUUUCGGGUCAAAAUACAAAUACACAAAAGUAUCAAAACUUUAUGUAAUUGCAUAAAAGCCUCAAAAAUACCCUAUUUUAAUAGGGUGGCCGGUUUUAGGGAGAAAAAAGGAGUGGAGAUAAGUCCACAAAAAUUUGGAAAUUUUUCAACUAAGUCAUAAAGCCAUGCAAGUGGAAAUAGGUUGAUGUGAAUAAAGCCAUGCAAGUGGUGUGUGUGUGUGUAAGAGAAGUCCUUCUUACACACCCAUCACCAUUUCUAUCACCUUUCAAAAAUAAUAAAUGUUUUGAUGAUAGAUAAGUCACACCCACCAACACAAAACAAAGACUUUAUGAAAUAAAUCAAAACUUUGAAUCAAAACAUCAAACCUUUUUGUUCUUGGCAAGAACAUCAAGAACAAUGAAGAACAUCCAUGAAAACCCAAAAGAGCUCCAUGAAUGUUUUCAAGCAAUAAAACUCAAAUUUUCACCAUUCAAAAUGGGGCUAACAUCCUAGGGUACUUAGGGGUUCCAAAAGUCACUUUAAAACACUUUUAACAAGUCAAACAAGAACCCAAAAAAUCACCCUUUGGAUUUGGCCGAAAAUCCCCAAAAACUUGGCACCAAAUUUUAGCUCUAAUAUUCAUGCUCAUAUGAACUACAUCUACAACAUUUGAGAUGGCAAAUUUUCUAACAAAAUUUACAUUCAAAGAAACAAGAAUAAAGCUUGUAACAUAUUACAACUUUUAAAUCAAAACUAUGAAAUACAAAACCCAAAAGGAUUCACCAACUACUAGACCUAGGCUCUGAUACCACUUGAAGGAAGAUUUGUGAAAAACAUGUUCAUUUAAGCAACAUCUAUUAGCAUGCAAUUAACAAUUAAAGGCGGAAUCAUGCUUG